UUUUUUUUUGUUAGUUUAAAAAAUUUUCAAAGUUGAACACUCAUACAUAGGGUUAAUUGCAAAAUACCCUCAACUAUUAUUAGUUUGUGACUUGCCUCGUAUACAACUGAGUUUUAGCAUUUGACCACCUUGAUGGAUCAAUUUUGGCACCUUACUCUAAUCAAAUAUAAGCCAACAUAAAAAAAUGUUGUGAUAACAUUUUUAUCCUGCUAGGAACUGUUUAAAACCCAAAAUUCCAUAUUAUUUUCUUUAACAUUUUGUCUCUCCUCUCUCCACUAGUUUUCUCAAAUCCUAUUUCUACAAAUUUCAUCAAUCGCCAAAUUCCCAUAUCAAAUGCACUGUCGCAAUUUUCUCUCUAUUCCUUUGGCCCUUCAUCAGAAAUUACCAAGUGUCCAGAAAAUUAAAACAUCUUAUCUGUCCUUUAUGCUCUUGGCUUUUUAACAAGUGAUAAGUCAAAACAAGAGUUUACGUUCAUCAAUUUUUAACUAACCAGCGAGCGAGACUGAAUGGAGCCGCAAAUCGCCCAUUGGAGCUAGAACUUGAGGAGAGCAUCCAUGUGGCUGUAAUGUUCUUUCAACCCUUUAUCAACAGAUCCUUCUAUUCCUCAUUUUCUUUCAUGCAAUGCCUUAUCUUUUUAGAUGUUUUAUUUUUUCUCUAGGAAAAAAAUUGGAAUUUGUGUGACUAUUGCUGAUACUUUUUUCCAAAGGGAAAACUAAAAAAGAAAAAGGCUUCUUACAGUUGCUGUUCUUUUUGAAAGAAAAAAGAGGAAUAAAAGGAAAGUGAUGCAAAUUGGCAGCAAGUAACAAGACUGAUAAACACAAACCAUAGUUUUGACUUUAGGAUGCAACUUACAAAUUAAAGAUAGUUCAAGGGUACAUUUUGCCAUUAACCCUUUUUCAAUAUAUCACAAGUAUUAUUCUGAUUUCACCCACAAAAGAACUCAAAAUGAGCAAAAUGAAUCCAAACCCGGUCCUACUCAACCGUCCAGCCUGUCCAGAAUUGUAGCAUUGGUUGACUUGAGUUUGAACCAGAUUGAAACGUUAGAAGUUACCCAUCGACAAUCAAUAACAUUCCUGGUAGGAGACCUCCCAUGGUAUAGGGGCAUUGGAAGUUGCAAAAUGAUUAAAGCAUUAAUAAUCAGAAGAAAAUGAGAUAAAACUAAGUCGUUGUCAUUGGAUAAAGUAUGGACGGCAGAAUAUGGUUAUCUCUACAAUUAACCAAGAACAAUAAAAGCUGAACAGUGUAAGGCUGAUGAUUAUAGAAAGGGUAAAAUGCAAUUUUCAUCCCUAAUGUUUAAGGUGUUAACCAAUUUCAUCCUAAAGUUUCAUGCAAAACACAUUUCAUUCUUAUAAUUUUAUAAUUUUGAUUAAUUUCAUAGUUAAAGUUUUACGCAAACACAUAUCAUUCUCAUAGUUUCCUAAAUUUGGUUAAUUGAGGACAAUUGGUAGAUUGUCAAAUAAUUUGAAUGGAAUAGCGUCACUUGACCAUGGCAUGCCUAUUAGUUAAAAAAAUAUAUAUUGGAUCAACAAAAACUCAAAAAUCUUUUCUUAAUUCACUUUCUCAUUUUUGUACAAAAAAGACUAAGAAAUUUUUAACCACCAUUACUCCCUUUUUAAUCACAAUCAAACUUGAAGAUCCAAAAAAAAUGAAAUCAGUACAAAAGAAACAACCCUACUAUAGCCAAUUGGAGAAAAAUGUCAAAGAAACCCAUUCCAACUAAUUGGAGAAAAAUAUUAAUGCGAAAGAACAAAUGGUUUGGAUUGUCAUUUAUUUGCAAAAUUUUGUUUGUUGCAUCAUAUACAUGUUUUUCAAUCAUUUAUUUAUCUUUCAAUCUAUUUAUUUUGUAUCAAAUACAUCAUAUCACAAAAACACUCGUUGUUAUUUCUAUAAUUUAAUCAAUAAUUGAAUUAAGUAUUCAUAAUACAAUUAUUAAUGGGACAUGUGAUGUUAUUAUGUCUAAAUUGGUUAAUAAUCAUUUAAUUGUCCUUAAUUGGUAGGAAUUAUAAAAUUAUGAGGAUGAAAUUGUUCUAUACAAACUUUAGGGACAAAAUUGGUCAAAAUUAAAAAUAAUAAGGAUGAAAUGUGUUUUGCAUGAAACUUUAGGGACGAAAUUGAUUAAUACCUUAAACAUUGGGGAUGAAAUGUGCAUUUUCCCUCAUAGAAAAGCAUCUAGAUUCACAGGGUUUUUGAUCUACAAAUCAAGGCUUCUCCAAAAUGGGUUUAUCUCAUAAGCUAUUCAUUAGAAUGACUCAAACUUUAAUUGGUUUUCAAUUUGUCGACCGCAAAAAUUCCUUGAGCUGAUGUGCAAGAUAAAGAAUUCUCUCUCUCUCUCUCUCUAUUGAAGGAUCAUAUAUGGUGAAUUUCUACCUGCUCAUUUGAUGACUUAAAUCAACAAAUUUAGAACUUAUAGAUCCAACUAAUUUAUUGACUAAAUUGCACUGCAUACCAGAAUUAGUAGGUAUUAUUAAUGACCCAUUGGUAAAGGGAGGAGUUUUCCCCACUAUCAGGUUCACACUUCGAAUCUUAAAUCUGAGUUGAGAGUAAGAAGAGUGUGAGAAAAGGAGGGAGGGACAAAAAAGAAAAGAAAAGAAAUAGUAGGCACUAUCAAGGUUAGUGUUAAUGCUAUAGAAAAUGAUGUAGAACAUAGUACACCAACUCAGGACUAGUAAUAAGCUGUGAAAAAGAUAGUUAAGAAUGAACUGUAUUUACAUAAGAAAACAACUCCUGUUGUUGUCUUGUUCACAUCAGAUACAAUUAUAUAUACAGAAAGACAUGAACCCCUCACAAUUAAUACCAACUAACAACUAAAUGACUUCAGUAAACCAAAAGAUAAUUCUAGACUCUACAAAAAAGUAACAAUGGUAAAUGACAAACUAAUUGCUCUUCAUUAGUCUUAAAAAAAUCAACUUUAAUAUUCAACACUUCCCCUUAAAGUGAUUUUUUGGAAACUAAUCCAAGUUUGGCCUUAAGCACCUCAAAAACUGCCUUAGAAAGUGCCUUAGUUAAAAUAUCUGCAACAUUCUUAUCACUUUGUAUGUGUAAAACUUUGAUAAUACCAUCAAGAAUUUUCUCUCCAAUGAAAUGGUGCUUUAAUUCAAUAUGUUUGGCUCUUGCACGACAAACUAGAUUGGAAGCAAGCUUGAUAGCACUUUGAUUGUCACCAAAAACUUUAGUGGGUCUAGAAAUAGGAAGAUAAAUAUCUUUAACAAGCCUUCUAGGCCAUACACAUUCUUUAGUAGCAAGAGCAGUGGCUUUGUAUUCCGUCCUUGUUGUUGAUAGUGAAAUAGAAUCUUGUUUCCUACUACAUCAUGACACUGCUAUUGAACCACACAGAUAUACAUAUGCUGAAGUAGAUUUAUGAUCAUCCAAAUCUCCUCCCAAAUCAGCAUCUGUGUAUCUAUGUAGUGAAAAAUCAGCUCCAUUCUUGUACAGCAAUCCCAUAUCAGAUGUGGUGCUUGUGUACUUCAAAAUUUUCCUUGCCAUUUCUAAAUGUGGCUUCCGUGGUGGUUGAGGAGGGGAAGCAAGAGUUUGAGGAAGGAGAGAGGAGAAGGGAGUUAUGGGUGGUGGUGGUGAAUGGUAUUAUUUUAAAUUUUUUAAAACUAUCUUAAAAAUUUUUAAUUCUAAAAAUACCCCAAAAUACAUUCUCAAAAACAUCCCCAAUAAUAUUCGGUAAGAGUUUUAAAUAUGCACUGCUGCAGUAAAUUUUUUAAAAGAUACCUCUAAAAACACCUAAUCCACAUAGAGCCUUUAAAAAAAAAAAUACAGAGCCUUUAAGUUAGUUUAUUUUCUUCGUCAAAUGUAGGCAAACAUAAAAUGAGUCAAGUAAAAUAUGUUGUUUACAAUAGAAGAAGCGUUAAUGAGUUAGUCAAAUCAUAUGUCAAUCUAGCUUUUAUUCAUUUAUUUUGUUUAAUUAUUUUAAUUUAUUUUUUUGUCUUCUUGAAGUAGGUUUUUUUUUUUUUUUUUUGAAGUAGGGUUGAUUAACCAAUUCACAAUAAUUAUGUGUGUUUGGAUUGUAAAUUAUUUGAGAUAUUUUUACUGUAGUACUUUUUGUGAUCUGAUGUAUGUGAGAUAAAAAGGUAAUUGGGAAGAUAAAAAGGUGUAUUGAAAAUUGUAAUGGUGAUGUAAGCAAAUAUAUUUGGACAAAUAAUCUCCUGUCCAAACACACUAGCACCAAUAAGAAACUUAAAAUAAGUCCUAUAUGCCUAAACUCUAAGUAGUAAAGGCUAUUGCACCAAAGGAAAAAUAUUGAAGAAUAAGAAUUAAUCCACAUUGUCAGGAAGAUAGAUAGAAAAAGGAAAGAAUUAGAGGUGGCAAUGGAUUAUGUGUGGUACCGUAUUCGUGUUGUGUCCUUUUCAUGUUCGUGUCGAAAAAUCUCAACUCGAACCCAAUUCAUUAGGUUUCUGUGUCCUAUUGUGUUGUGUCAUAACUUACAUAUCAACAGGUUGAUACGAUCCAACUCACUUAACCCAUUAAGUAUUUUUAGCCAUAAUAAUCAUGUUAAAUGAACCUGUUUGACACUCUCUUAAACCUAUUAAUUUAUUUAUGUACAUAAUUUAGUGUUGUUAUUAAAGAAUUUUCAAUGACAAAUUGCUCAAUAAGGUCUUCAAAGUUCAAAGUAAUAAAGAAAUGAGUAAAUCUUAUAUACACUGACAAUGUAUACACUAUCAUCGUUAGAUAAAUACCACAUAAAUGAAAUUUAGAUUUGAAAUUCAAAUUUAGCAUAUGUAGCAAUCAUCUAAACAUGACAAUGUACAUACUAUCAAUGCAUAGAAGAUUAAUCCUAAAGAAAUUUAAGAAUUUCAAAAUUUAAAAAAAAAAUUCCAAAACUUUGAAAUUUGUUUUCAACAAAAAACAAAUCUAUAAACGAAACUUGUAAACUCAUGCAACCAUGCAUCUUACUAGCCUUCUUUAUUCAACAACCUUCUUAAUCCACGAACAACCGAAUGACAUUUCCAUUAUCAGGGCAGCGGUUUUGUAGUAUUCAAUUGUCCGUUUGUUUCGACGUAAAAUGUUUUUCAUGGGGAAAAUAUUUUUAGUGAAAGACAUUUUCCAUGAAAAUAUUUUUACGUUUCAUGAUUUUUUGAUUUUUGGUUAACUUUUAAAAUAUCAUUUUGACAGAAUAUCUGCAAGUACUCUACAUUGUUUAUCUUUCUUAAAGACCUAAACUGAUUCUUUCCCAAACGAGUAAAAUGUUUUUCAUGAGAAAAUAUUUUCAGUGAAAGACAUUUUCCAUGAAAAUAUUUUUACGUUUCAUGAUUUUCUGAUGUUUGGUUAACUUUUAAAAGAUCAUUUUGACAGAAUAUCUGCAAGUACUCUACAUUGUUUAUCAUUCUUAAAGACAUAAACUAAUUCUUUCCCAAACAAGAAAAUAAGGUCUCACAAGAAUAUGCAGUCGUGAUACGAAUAGGUAGGGAUGGCAACGGGGGCGGGUUUGAGGACAGAGCACCCCAAAAUUGCCAAAAAAACUCCCCCCGCCCUUUUCCCCCCCCCCCCCCCCGGCUUCUCCUGCAGUUGCUCGUGGUUGAUAAUUUGGUUUUUUCUAGAAUCUUUUAUUCAAUAGAUCAAACCUAAAUUCAAACAAUAAAAUAAAAUACGGAGUUGGAAAAAGUGAAAAAUAAAAAAUGAAACAAGAAAAGUGUUGAAAUAAAACAUCAAGAAAAUUAAGAAACUCAAUUGGAUUGUAUAGAUAAAAUCUGAGAAUAUUCAUAGAACGCAUAAUAUGUUUGUAGCAAAUAUCACCUAGGAAUUUAGAUAGAAAUGAGAUAAAAAUUUUAUUUAGUUGUCGAAUAUUCUAUAUUUAUUAGUAGAUUAUAUAAUAUAUAACAUUUAUUUAUAUUAAUAAAUCGGGGAAUGGGGCGGGGGUCACUCCCCGUUUAAAACAAGGAGAAAAGUUCUCCCCGCCCCCGCCCCCGCCCCAUCGCCCGCACCAUUACUCCUCCCACGGGUACCCGUCCCCGUUACCCCCCUACGAAUAGGUAGUUUGGUAUGUUAGGUUCAUAACUCACGGUAGUUGGGAAAAAUAACUUCAGAAAAUCUAUUGCGUAAGUUGUUUUCCAGGAUUUGGGGCAGGGACGGUCAUCAGUAUCCAUGCACGGUUAAGGGCCAAGAUUUGCCCUCAAAAUUUUGUGCGGCUGAGAUUACACCAUGUAACUCGAUUUCCGCGCCAAGUGUGGGGCCCACCACUAUCUGUUGUGAAAAUACAUCCUGUGAAAAAAAAGUUAUAUCGUGUUUAACCAAUGUUACGCGCAGUGCAAAAUGAAGACAACCUACGCACCUGCAACCGUUUGUGCCCCGUAUCCUGUUUUCCACUAAAGGAUGUAAAUCAUUUGCUGAAGAAAAGGUUUUCAGUGGUCUAAUUGCAUCCAAACAUUGGAAAAUUGGAAAAGGAUUUUUCGAAAAAUAGUUUACACCAAAACAAACGGACACUGAGGCUGUCAUAAAAGGAAAGAAAAACAAGAUGGGGGACAAUUUUUAGUGAUGUUCAUUUUUUUUUUUUAUCAAAUUAGCGUGAUAACCUGCAGGCUAGUCCAAUUCGACCUGCUUAAGUUAAUAUCGUUAAUGAAUUGGCUCAAUAAUAAUUCACUUACACUCAAAUCGUGAUAAACUUAAAACUUUUGGAUUGUAUUUUAAUCGUAUUAUCUUGCCGCUUCAGAAAUUGUCAUCCUUAAAAAGAAUUAUUCACAUGGCCCUAAUUAUUGGACAUGUCCACAUGUAACGAUCUAGCUAAGCAUUAGGGCUUUUCAGACCAACCCUACAAUUCUUGCACAUGGACAUCCCAAGGACAUUAACAAGAAUAUACAGGUUUCUGCUCAUUUUCAUCAUAAAUGCAUCAAAUUCUAUGGACAGGUGUCUAAUAUUUGGCUGAAUAACAUAUGAGCUUUUUACUCAUAAAAUUUACAAUUUUCCAUGCCACAAUUAAAAUGAAAGAAUACCACGCCACGAGGAAAAAAAAAAGAUCAUAGCAGAAUUUCCUAUUUAACAAAUUCGAAGCUUAAAUUUGUCGAAGAAAAAGAAAUUGUCACUGAAGCAAAAUACCAAUUGCAGUGACAUCCAAAAUUUUUCUAUACAAAAGAAAAGACAUCUAAAGAUAACCAAUUUUAAGAUACUAUCAGAUGUGAAACAAAAAAAUAAUAAUAAUAAAAUAAAAGGAAAAAUUGGCAAAGUGAGAUGAAUGAAUCAGUCAGAGAUCAAAUGCAGCAAAGAUUGGCUGGGACCUGGUGUAACCAAGGCUGGACUUGGAGGGCUCAAUGCUGGUGGUGGAGCUUGUGAAACCAAUGGCGGUGGAGGCGGCGGAGGUGGCGAAGAUAAUGGUGGAACUGGAGGUACUGGAGGUGUUGGUGCUGGUAAUGGUGGUGGUGGUGGUGGUGGUGGUACUGAUGUAGAGGGAUUUUGUGGGCUAGGAAUUUCACCACCCGCAGGCGGUGCUAGUCCUCCUCCUCCUGCUGGUGGUGGUGGUGGUGGUACUGAACUUUCGCUAGGACUAGGAUUAGGAUUAGGAUUUGGAGUAGGACUUGUAAGAGACGAGCUUGGUGGACUGGGGUUAGGCACCACUGGAGAUUGGUAACAAGCAUCACCAGAACAUUUGCUGUUGUGGGACUUGUGAUUGCCAUGCCUAAGAAGCCCAAAUCCCAAGAUGAGUCCAGUCACAACAAGAACUGUGAUAAUGAAGAUGAAGAUCUUGGUUGCCUUCCCCACAUAACACAUCUUUUCCUUUCCUCUUUUGCACUUUCACUUUUAGUACUAUGCUCUGGUUUGCGCUCAGAAAUGGGCUCAGGAAUCAGAAUUGGUAUGGUAGAUUGGCAGGGAUGGUUUUUGGUUGUCUUUGUUAAAGACAGAAAAUGUGAGGUGAGUUGUGGUGAGUUUUGUGAUAUUUGAGGUAAUAGUACAGUACAUUUUGACAUACUAGUAUUUAUUUCUAGUGCUCUUUAUGUUGUUGUUUUCUUCUUUUUCUCUUGGUUCUUGUCAUGGUGUAGAGAGUGAAGAUGAAGAGGGACAAGUAAGCAUUUGAUGAGCAGGGAAAGAUGGGGUUGGAUUUGGGCAUUUCACUUGGUUUUGGUUGGUUGGAGGGGGAAAAUGUGCAGACUGGCACAUGGAACCAAUGAAGGUGGGGAAAAAAAAAAUAGUGGAGUAGUAUUUGUUUUGCUUGUAAUUUUUGGCUGUUUCUUGAUUAUGCUAAUGACAAGUUAUUAGAUUUUGGAAGAGAGUGUUUUGUUUUGAGAAUAUAGUGAAUCCUGAAUUGAGAACUUUUUAAAUUGGCUGUAGUAACUCUUGAUCCCUCGUAUUGGUUGUUGAGUUAAUGACUUAAUGUGAGUAAUUUUUCUUGACAUUAUCCUCAUGUUUUUUCACCAGCUUUUGAUUAUUGAUUUACUCCAUUGCGUUGAAAAAGCAAAGGUAGGGAUGAGAAGACCAGCAAAACAAUCCCUUUUGGGUAACAAGACAGGAAUUCAGCGAGUAUGUAGUCGCUUAAGUUUUUAUUUAAUAGAAUGUGUAAUGUGUUUUUUUUCUUUUUGUCUGGUAGAAUAUUAUUUGAAAUAAUUAUUAUAGUAUUUUUUGAGAUAUAAUAUAUAUGAGAUAAAAAAAUUUGUUAAAAAAUUUAAAAAAAAUUGAUUAAAAGUUAUAUUUUCUAUAUAAGCAAAAUAUUAUUUAGAAUAACUUAAUCCAAAUAGAGUGAAUGACUUGAGUUGGACAUUCUACCCUUAUCCCUUGGAGCCUUCCCGCUAACUACUGGGCUGGAUGAACACCAGAUUGCUAAUGACGAACUUGUCACAUCUGAAAUGGGCAGAAAAUGUCGGAAAAUGUAUAUCCGUAUUCUUCUUUGUUCUUACAAAUUUGGAUAUGUUUGUAGAUCACAAUUUUUUUAAAUAUUAGUUUGCUUGCAUUACAAAUAUAUUUUUUUUUAUUUUAUAUAUAUCACGUCACAAAAAGUAUCAUAAUAAUUAUUUCAAAUAAAUUUUUUUUCUUUUUUUUUUAAGGAAAAUCCAAUUGGAUUAUAUAAGGGACUAGAGGAGAGAUAGACUCGUUUAGAUCAAAAGAGUAAUCUGACAUAUUCGAGAGAUAGAUCCAUCGAGAUAAAAAUGAUGCAUUAGCAUACCCUUUGAAUUGUUUUAACUGCACAAUGCGGGAUUUAAACUUUCAACCUAUUCAAACAAGAAUUUUAAAUCCGUUUUGGUAGCCAACUUGCUUAAGACAAGUUGGUUGUGAGUUAAAAUACCAUCUGAUGAGAUGAACUGAUAUUUGUUUUAUAGUUAAAAAUUAGAAAUUCCAAAAUGUUUGGGACUGUUAGCAAUCUGGCAAACUGUCAACGUUCAGCCCUUCCAAUGUCACUUUAAUGCAUCUCAUCACUUAUGCUUUAGACAACAAACAAUUCAAUUUUAACAAACCAAUCUGGCAAAUUGUCAACGUUAAGGAAUUGUGGACAAUGAGGUGGCCUUUAAAGUUGUAACUUCCAACAAAGAAUCAAAUGUAAUGAAAUCCAACUAUUAAGUAUUAAGGAAUGAAUAUGAAUAGGAAACACAAGGAUUUAAAAUGUGUUUAAGCUGCAUUACAAGAAAUCAAUGAGUCUGUUUGGAGAGAAUUGUUCACAAGGCAAAACACAAAAGAUUGCAUUUCUUCCGGUAUUGUUUGGACUGUUGAUUAUUUGCACAAAAAAAAUUUAUUUGCUUUUAUCAGCAACAAAUUUUUUAAUCAUCUUUUUAUUUCACAUACAUCAUAUCAAAAAAUGCUAUAGUAUUUUUUUAAAAAAAUUAUCCCAAAUAAUUUACUAUUCAAAAAUAUAUUUGCUUGCGUUUCUUCGGAUUCGUUACUUUUGCAGUUUUACAUUCUACUUCUUUUCUAUUUUUUUGUGGGGAAUCAAUUAUUUUCUUAUUUUAGUUUAAGGAAUUAAAAUGGUGAAUUUUGAAUAAGAACAGAGAAAAUUAUUAAAUGGAUAUGUGUUGAGCACCUGUAGGAGGGAAUAUUUUGGAAAACGAGCCCGAUAUUUUGUCCGCCAUGUCAACCCUUGACCUAAUCUGGCAAAACGUCAGAUCUGUUCGUCAGCUCCUUGGUUCCAUAAUUGCCCUUAAUAUUCCAGUUAAAUUACCAAAUUGACACAGUCGCUUUUUUACCCAUAGCUGUAUUUGGAUUAGCUGUUUUUGAAGGUAUUUUUUAAAAACUUUACUGUAACUGUGUAUAUGAAAAAUUUUUACUGUAAAUGUUUUUUUGAUUGUAUUUAGAGGUAUUUUUAAAAUAUAUUUUUAAGUAUUUUUAUAAUUUAUAAUUUUUUUGAGAUAUUUUUUUUAAAAUUUUACACGACCCACCACUAUUCCCGCCCUUUUCUUCUCCUUCUCUCCUUUCUCUUCCUCUCAUCCUCCUCUCUAUUUCCUCCCCCUCCUCCUCCCUCUUUCCUCUCCCGUCUCCCUUCUCCACCCUCCCCUCAACCCCAAACCCCUCUCUCGCUCGCAGGUGGUGGCUGUGACUUUAGCCACCACUCUAACAACGACAGUUUUGGUUGCGGCUUCUGCUCGUGAUCAGAUUUGAUCGUGACUAAAAAGGUUGCGAUCAGUCGAGGGGAAGGAAAUUGGGGAGCGGGGAAAGGGAAAGAAGAAAUGAGGAAGGAGAAAAAGAGGGAGGAGGAGAAAAAAUGAAGGAGGAGGAGGAGAGAGGAAGGAAAGAGGGGAGGAGAGAGAGAGGAGAGAGGAGAGAGGAGAGAGGAUCGUGGGUGUGGUGGUGGAAAGUGAUGGAUAGUUGUGUAUUUUUUUAGUAUAUUUGAAAUUAUUUUUGAUAUAUUGUAUGGAUAUGAUAUUUUUGGAGUUAUUUUUGUUUGUGUAUUACUGUAGCAUUGUAGAUGAAAAAAAUUGUUUUUCAAAAAAGUCUGAAUCCCCCAAUAGAGAGUGCGCCCACGCACAUUACUGCACUGGACCGUAUUGAAGAAUCGAUGUCAAUUGAAUCACCAUUAAAUCAGACGGAUACAUUACACACUCAUAUAAAUUUAAGUCACUUAAAAUCUAAGUUAGUAUAAUGACAAGUGGUGAGCGAAAAAUUUGAAUAUUUAAUCUUCCAUUCCACAAAGUCUUGAGAUCAUGGUAAUGGCCAACAGUCAUUUUCACUGCACAACUAUUUAACCUCAUAAUAUUCUUCAAGUAGUGGGCACGCCCAUCGAGGUUAGUACAAUUAACUCAUUCAUUCUUGACGCGCUAGCAGUAGCGUGUGAUUAAUAACUCUUAACUUCCCUCCGAACUGUGGAUUUUUUUUCCUUUCAAUUUUGUCCAAUUGAUCGAGGACAGAAGGGAUUAAUUGCAGUAGGAGUAUUUAGGCAAUUAGAAUAUUUCAUACACUUUUUUUUUUUGGUUUAAGAAUAUUUCAUACACUGCAAUGAUGCUUGGUUUAGCAGUAUACACGACCAAAGUCAAAUUUCAGAAGAGAUUCUGUUUAAAUUUCAUAAUUAGAGCUAUAGUUCUACACAUAAGGCUAGUAUUUGUCUCACCUUCUGCAAGUUAAUUAUCAUAUUAUAUGCAGAUAAUAUAUAUAUAUAUAUAUAUAUAUAUAUAUAUAUAUAUAUGAAAACUCAGCUAAACUAAAGGGAUAGAAUCUCCAUAAUGUGUAUAAUAAUUUAAGGAACCUAUCCUUCCUAUCAAAUUUUAAAGAUAAAACAUCCUUGAAGCUAUCCUAGUAAAAAUGGCCUUUGAUUAAGGAAAAUUUAAUUGGGUUAGUGAACUUUGAUGAUUGAAAAGGAACAAACUCAAGUCAGCUAAGUUACAGUCCCUUCAUAUGUCGCGGUUCUAAUCUUUCAACUAUCAUAAAAUACUCUAAUAAUAAACAUAGAUGGCGAUUCUAAUCUCCCAAAAAACAACUAUUAUAUGAUGCUUUUAUAACCAACCCUCUUGGAUCCUCCCCUUCUCAAGGACUAGGUUAGAAAUUAUCAUCCCGAUACAAAAAUAAAGACAAGUGAAACAGAUAAUCUUAUUAACAUUUAAAAUGUUAACAAAGAAAAUGUUCCAUAAUGAAAUAAGACGGAAUAGAAUUUUCUCUCUCUUUUUUUGGGUACUUAUGGAAUCUUCUCUCCCAGAAGUCACUUCGGGGCUCCGACUCAUUGGCCAGUGAGGCAGCGAUUAAUAAAUUUCUUGGCCAUUCUCUGGAAAGAGGAGGGUAAAUUUCUAGAACUCCUUUCCACAGACUAUGACUUGGAUUUACUGGCUAAUCGAAACAAAUGGAUGACAAUGACAGAAAAUGCUGUCAAAGUCAGGAAUUGCAUAUGAAAAUGUUUGAAGAUUUUCCAUAGCCAGCUACUACAGUAUACAGUCAGUUUCAUCUUUUAUUUUCCCCACCACACUUGCAACUACUAAUGACCAGAGGACUACAAUACUCCAAAACAUGUCAAUUUCUAGAUCAAUGCAGCCCACACGAAAUGGUUCAAGAAGCAGGAAAUGGAAAGAAUCAAGGAUCCAGCUUGUUUGAGUAACCUCCAUGUCCUUAUUCUAGAUUUUUAUGUUGAGCUUACCACAACACUCAUCCAGCAAAAAUCACAAUGACAAGCAUUAUAACCUCAAAACCAACUGGAACACUUAGAAGAACAGGAUUCCACAAAGCACAACUGCUCUCAAGCCUGCCGAACAAAAUUGAGCGGAAGAAUGGACAAGGCCUCAGGUAUAAUCUCACAUUUCGUUCUCACAGAAGGAUGCAAAACCGUCAAGUAAUAGCUUCUGACGUUUCGACCACGCAAGCAGAGGUAACUUGAAGUGAAGUAUAAUAACCAUUGCAGGUUCUCUCUCUCUCUCUUACAUUUCAAACCCCCCCCCCCCUCUUUGCCCGAACCCAACCCAAAAUUAUAUUCUCUUUUUCCAGAAUUCUAUUGGAUGCAAAUGCACUUGUUAAGAUGUCUGGGAAAUGAAUGCAACCCUAAAUCCUAGUAUAGUUCCAAUCCUGCUGUCAUUAUUCCUAGCAACAGCUCUUAAGUUGAAAUCAGACGAGCUACCGGAGCAUGAAAAGGAAAUUAGUAGUGGAGAUUUUCUCCUCCUUCAGCACCCAAUCACCCAUGAAGUCACGUUACUGCCAUGAUAACAUGACUUCACGGCCAACAACCUAUUAGCAGCCUUCUCCAAGUUCUUUAUUAUCGCACCUAUUUUUACAGUCUGAUUGAAUAAGUACUAAAAUGUUCCUAAACCACAGAAUGCAUGCACCAAGUGUUUGUGUGAUACUUGCUCUUAUUUGACAUGUGAUUCUCAAAACCAAUCACAAGUCAGCAAUCAUAAAAAGUGAAAAAUAAGUCAAGGAUAAGACAAGGAAAAGCACAGCAUAUAACAUCAAAGCUUGCAGUACCAACACAUUUGUAGUUUAUCCAAACCAAUAAUAAUCAGAUAACUGCAAGCAAGAGAAGAAACUGUGCUUUCAUUUUUCUGUGAUACAUAUUUAAGCUUACCCUUUUUCCCACCCAGGGUACAGCUCCGAAACCCUCACAUAGCAUAUUGGUAAACUAUGUACCAGUUUAUGUCAUGCUCCAGGUGAGUCAUAAUCUCUACUUUAAAGCACAAAAUACAUUACAUUCCAAUUAGGUGGUGGGAAACAAUAACUGCCUUAAAAUCACAUAUUCCUUUUCAGUUUAUUCUAAACAUUUCUGCUGGUGAUACAGCUAGAUGUUAUUUCAACAAACAAUGCUAUCUCAAACCAAGAAAAGCUUGAGAAGCAGCUGCACGAACUCAGACUAGCUGGAGUUGAUGGCAUCAUGGUUGAUGUCUGGUGGGGCAUUGUAGAAUCCAAGGGUCCUAAAAGCUAUGACUGGUCUGCUUACAGAAACUUGUUCCAAUUAGUUCAAAAACAUAACCUUAAAAUACAAGCAAUCAUGUCAUUUCACCAAUGUGGUGGCAAUGUAGGAGAUGCUGUUUAUAUUCCACUCCCAAAAUGGAUUCUUGAAAUAGGAGUAGAGAAUCCUGAUAUAUUCUAUACAAACCGAUCAGGUACUAGGAAUAAGGAGUGCCUCUCACUUGGAGUAGAUAACUUGUCUCUCUUUGAAGGUCGAACUGCUGUCCAGGUAGAUGAUUUCCAUGAAAUUCUCUAAUGCUGUUCAAAGAUCAUGUACUUAACCAUUAUAAAAGCUCUUUUCUUGAGCUAAAAAGAUGUCAAAAAAGAAAGGUUGACUUAAAAAUCUGGUGUUUGGGUAAAAUCCUUUAAAAUUAUCAUUUGGUUUGUGGCCAUGUUUUCAUUAGUAUGCCAAAUAUAGAGCCUGCUUCCUGACCAAGAGUUUUAUUAAAUAAAACUAAAUCCACUCUUAUAAGUUGAAAGAGUAUCGAGCUUCAAACUGUUGGUAGUAAACUCUGGUCUGCCCUUUAGCUGACAGUGGUCACAAGAAUUAUACCAAUCACAUGUAGGAGAUGAGGUUUGACAUAAGCAGCUCACAAUUUCUGUGUUCCUCUGUCUUUAUUAUACAAUUUCUUAUUCCUCGUAGUGCUUUUGAAGGCCUAACAUUAACCUAAUGAACUAUUGAGCCUAGCAUAUUGUCAUUUCAGUUUUGAUUUGUAAUUAAUCUCCGAAUGUUUUAGAUGUAUAGUGACUAUAUGAACAGCUUCAGAGAGAACAUGUGACUUUUUGGAAGCAGGAACUAUCAUAGACAUUGAGGUAGGCUUAGGACCAGCAGGAGAGCUCAGAUAUCCAUCAUACGUAAAAACUCAAGGAUGGAAAUUUCCAGGGAUCGGAGAAUUUCAGGUUAGAUUUUCAGCCUAUUUGUUGUAAGACUACAUCUUAUCCUCCCGUUAAUCAAAAGAAAGUCAUUCCUAACUAAUGUUCUUUCAAAACUAACACACAAUCAUAACAUAUUUCAGUGCUAUGACAAAUACUUAAGGGCAGAUUUUAAAGAGGCUGCAAAAAAGGCAGGAUAUCCUGAAUGGGAUGCGCCAGACAAUGCAGGAACGUAUAAUGACACACCAGAAAAUACAGGCUUCUUUGGACCAGACAGGAUAUACCUCUCAGACUACGGGAAUUCCUUCUUGACCUGGUACUCCAACAACUUAUUGAAACACAGUGAUCACAUCCUCGGGGAAGCCAACAAAGCUUUUCUGGGAUGCAAAGUCAAGCUGGCAGCUAAAGUAAAUGCUCAAUAAAAAGAAUAACACUUAAAGUAGUGCUUUCCCUAGACAUACUAUUAAAAUUUUCUUAUACCCACUGCAUUAACAGGUCUCUGGUUCCAUUGGUGGUACAAGGAUGACACUCAUGCUGCAGAGUUAACUGCAGGAUACUAUAGCUUAAAUAAUAGAGAUGGGUACAGACCUAUAGCCAGGAUGUUGUCUAGGCAUUAUGCUUGCUUAAGCUUUACAUGUCUAGAGAUGCUGCAGAGUUAACUGCAGGAUACUAUAACUUAAAUAAUAGAGAUGGGUAGAGACCUAUAGCCAGGAUGUUGUCUAGGCAUUAUGCUUGCUUAAGCUUUACAUGUCUAGAGAUGAGAGAUUCUGAACAUCCAGCAAUAGCGAAGAGUGGACCUCAAUAACUAGUUCGACAGGUUAGUUAUGUAGGAAAAGGCAAUUCUUAAUCAUGAAAUUAUCCACCCUGUCUUAAAGCUUGUAAGAAACUAUCCUUUUCCAGUUACAGAUAUAGUUAGUGAGAUAUACCAAGACAAAUCUUGUUAAAAAAAAAGAGAAAAAAAAAACUUAAGACCUUUCCUAGCUGAACGAUACUCACAUCUAGACAUUUGUCACACUUGUUACACAUUUUUGUGCAGGUUUAAGGUGCUGGCUGGAGAGAAAACAUUGAUGUUGCAGGAGAAAAUGCACUUUCAAGUUAUGAUCGUGUAGGCUACAAUCAAAUCCUCCUUAAUUCUAGGCCAAACUGUGUCAACAAAAAUACUUCACCAAAGCUGAAGUUGUCAGGAUUGACUUACCGCCGACUAUCAGAUAAACUACUAGGUCGGAAGAACUUCAGCAUAUUCAAAACUUUCGUUAAAGAAUGCAUGCUGACCAGGUUAGCGGCUUUCCACAAACAUGCACACAAGGAACAUAGAUGAAAAAGAAGAUAUGAUACUUGAACAUUAAAAAUGGCCAUGAUCUCUUAAUAUUUCUAUGUCUAAUAUCAUUACUAUCUUUUCUUAGGAUUAUGAUCCAGAUCACAUCAACUUACCAGCCCUGAAAGCAUUCAAACCGAAGAUUUAUUUUGACCAACUUUUUGAUGCAACUAAACCAAUUGAGCCAUUUCCUUGGGAUGAAGAAACCUAUAUGAGCGUGGGUGCUUCAUUCUUUGAAUUCUUGGACAAUCUCUUUCACCAUUGUUCUCCAUACAAAAGUGAGGGAAAUUAUUUAGCUUCUUGAACCCCGUGAAGGGAUCUCUCUCUCUCUAACCAACAGGAAAAAGGGUGAAAAUUAUACGACAUGAAGGCAAUUUGCUACUUCCUGAGCUCUCAUACACCCCCCAUUAAUAUCAUAGCUUGUUACUGUAAGCACCACAGCAUUUAUCCACUUUAAAUUUUGCUUAAUUGCAUACCCAUGUGUCUAUGAAUCUAGAAUCUGAAAAACCUAUUUUUGAGCAUUGAAAAGCUUUCUUAACAUUUAUAAUCCACUAAUUCUAUAGUAGGAAAAUGUCACCCAGUUUCCAUAUGAAGCUUCUGUAACGGUGAUUGCAUAAAAGGAGGGCCAAAAAGUUCAUCUAUUUGAGGUGAACCAUCAACUCACUCAGAGGUGACAUGGAAAUAACUACCAAAAUCUAACUUGACCGAAUUAAACUAUCACUGAUCAUCAGUCAUUUUUUAGAUACAAGCUUGAUACAAAGACUAAAAGCAUAGCAAUAUUACCACAUUUCCUCUCCCUGAACCACAUCUUUUCAUCUAGGAAUAGCUAAAAGACGUCUGACCAAGCAUGAAUGAGAAAAUAUCAACCGCAUAAGAAGUUAAGGCAUACUGGCUCAAAAUCAGAUGCUAGAACUCAGAAGCAUGACUAGAGGUGGCACAUAAUUUAAAUCACUAAGCUACAAAAACUUCAAGAAAUAAAAGCUUCUUAUACCUCAUAGAUGUUGCCAAGGAAAAUGAGAUUUUAGCAAAAUGAUUGCUUUCACAUUUCACUAUGUUAAAAUUGCUGCAGCAUUACAUCUAAAACUGAAGGAAGAUUUUGAUUGAUUCCUCUUUAACUUCAAGCAUUAACCAUCUUCCUUCCAGUUUUCUCUUAACACAAAAUACAGAAAAAAAAAUUGAAGGAAAAAAGACAAUAAAAGAAAAAGCCUAUCCAUUUUCCUCACCAAAAAUUCUGUGUUCCAAUCG
rnacentral:lncRNA from 1 species